GGUGAGAGUGAUGAGUUGCACAUCAGCUGGGGUGUCUGGUGCAGUGGCAUUAGCACUCCAGUCUGAAUCAUGAGAAGACAAAUAUUGUGCACAGGGGCCAUCUGACUCAAC
rnacentral:snoRNA from 1 species